rnacentral:miRNA from 1 species
GGAAUCUCAUUAAAAUGCAGAGUUGGAAUCAGCAGGUCUUGGGGAGGCCUAAGGUUCUGCAUUUUUAACAAGCUC